rnacentral:misc_RNA from 1 species
GAAGGAGUCGAUAGGAUAGAUCAUAGACGUGGGAAAGGGGAGACAUGUAGAAGUUUAAGAGAAACGGAUAUUUGUGGAAUUGAGUCAAUUUUUUUGAAUUCUUUGAUGUAAAAUCCCUGAAAAUUUCAAAACUCGUCUCCAAAGGCCUUCUCUUUUGAAAACCCAGAUCUCAAUUUCUCACAAUUUGAUCAAAUUUUUUUGCCUUUUUUUGAUACAUCUCAUGUCCCCUGUUUUUAAGCUCUGUUUUUGAGCGGGAUGCCAUGUUGUUCACCUCUCAGUUGCAGAAUCAGGCCUGUUCUUUUUUGUUUUUGGAGCUUUCUGUUCUUCUAUAUGCGUAAAUUUCUUGUGAUGUUUCUUAUUGGUUAGAUUGUUCUGUUCUUGGAUUUUGUUUCCAACGAAAAUAAAUAUAAGUAAAUCACAAUCCUACAAUUCCCUCCAAAAUUCUGUAAGAAAUUCAUCUGAUUCUCUUUUUGUUUUGAAAAUCUACCUACACAGUCUGCUAAUUCCAUUUCUUUCUGUUGUUGUUUUUGGUUACCUUCUUCUGUCAUCAUCUCUGAUUCUUAAUCCCACUUUCUCUGUUCUCUCUGCUACUAAAUUCCCAAAACCCUUUCAAAUUCUCUGUAAGACUCCUCCAUGAAGAUCCCCAAAGACAGAAUCCGAUUCAACGUUGGAGGCAGAAUCUUCGAGACAACCUCCACCACCUUGGCAAAUGCUGGCAGAAACUCUUUUUUCGGUGCAUUGUUUGAUGAUAACUGGGCUUUAAAACAGUCUAUCAAUGACUCCAAUCCUAAUAGUGAAUUCUACAUUGAUCGAAACCCCGAUUGUUUCGGUGUCCUCCUCGAUCUUCUCCGCACCGGCGAUCUCCACAUCCCUUCCCAUGUCCCGGAAAGACUCCUUCACCGGGAAGCCUCAUUUUACGGUCUGUUGAACCACGUAAGAUCUGCCAAAUGGGGCUCAUUUGAUGGAAACAGACUCCACCAUUCCCGGUCUGUCACUGGCCGGGCACCAGGGGAUGGUACCGCAAUUCGUGCAGGUCCGGACGGUGGGUGCUGUGUGGCUCAUGGAAGUAUGGUGCAUGUUUAUGAUUGGAUGAUGGAAGAACACCCGCCUAUUAAUCUUGAUUACCAGAGAGUGAACGAUGUGGCUUGGUUGGAUUCUGAGAAUGUGAUGCUUAGUGCCUGUGAGAGAUUAGGCCGAGGAGAUGGAGGAAUGGGGCUGUUCAGUAAGAGUACAGGGGAGCUCAGGUAUAAGUUUCAGGUCUGCCAUGAGAAUCAAUUGAAGAGCUAUACAGCUGGGGCUUUGAGCACCAGUUCUGAUUAUAGAAUUUUUAGUAGCUGUAAAGGGAGGAGUAAUGAGUAUGGAAUUGGAGUGUGGGAUCAAAUUAGUGGCAAACAGAUUGAUUUCUUUUAUGAGAGUCCAGGUUGGUCACUAGGUGAUGCUGAUAAAUUGCAGUGGUUGAACGGGAGCAAUUGUUUGUUGGUGGCUACUUUGUUUCCUAGAAAGGACAACUGUUACAUUAGCAUGUUGGAUUUUAGAGAGAAGAGAAUGGUGUGGUCUUGGUCUGAUAUUGGUGCUCCUAUUACCGUGGAUGAGAAAAGGGUUCGAGAUGCCAUAGCUAUGGAGGAUUGUAAUGCUGUUUGUGUAGUGAAUGAGUAUGAGGAUUUGGGGUUUAUAGAUUUAAGGAUGAGUGGAGGGAGUGUAAGGUGGAGCUCGAGGAGUCGUUUGAUGAAGGGGAAGAUGCCUGAUGAACCUUGUUAUCCAAAACUGGCAUUACAUGAGGGGCUGUUGUUUUCAUCAAUGGAUGAUUGCAUUUCUGUGUUUUGUGGUCCUGACUGGGUAUUGACAUCUAGGUUUCGACAAUUAUAUGGAGGUUCAAUUUGCGAUUUUUCAAUCGGUGGCGAUAGACUCUUUGCACUUCACAGUGAAGAAAAUGUCUUUGAUAUAUGGGAGACUCCACCUCCACCAAUUUUAUGAUUCAUAUUGUAAGGUGUGCUGGGUUUUGCCAUUAAUGUUUCUCACAUUUUGAUAUCAAUGAUUUUUUUUUCCCUUGUAGGUUGUAGAAGGUAGAGGAUGAAUUUCUGGUUAAGCAUAUUAGUUUAGCAAACCUAGAUAGGUAUUUGAAGAGUUGUGUGUGUGUGUGUGUAUAUGCUUCUUUUAGCUACCAUAAAAUUUUAGAGCAGUGACUCUGCUUAGGAUUUGCCUAGUCACGGAAAUGAAACUGAUUGCAUUAAACUAAUGUUAAAGGGAAACCUUCGAAUUUAUAAAUAGAGAAUGCACAUGAUUCUCAAUUAUUGUUUUGAACUUCGAUUAAUUACCAUUGCUUCUUCGUGGAAGAUGGAUAUAAUCAUUGACAGGGUCUACUUCAGACAUUGUGGGUUCUUUUCCCAUUUUAUGAACUGCUCAUUUUUCUUUUUGACCCUUUCCCCUCUCUCUUUUGUUCUUUU